rnacentral:rRNA from 1 species
GAGGGAAAGGUGAAAAGAACCCUGAAUAAGGGAGUGAAAUAGAACCUGAAACCAUACGCUUACAAGCGGUCGGAGCAGACUUGAUCUGUGACGGCGUGCCUUUUGCAUAAUGAGCCUACGAGUCACCGUGGCCAGCGAGGGUAAGCAUUUCAGAUGCGCACCCGUAGCGAGAGCGAGUCUUAACAGGGCGAACUAGUUGGUCGAGGUGGACGCGAAACCGUGUGAUCUACCCUUGGGCAGGUUGAAGCUGUGGUAACACAUAGUGGAGGACCGAACCCGUUGACGUUGAAAAGUCUUGGGAUGACCUGAGGGUAGGGGUGAAAGGCCAAUCAAACUCGGAAAUAGCUCGUACUCCCCGAAAUGCAUUUAGGUGCAGCGUUGAUUUAUAGUUUUAUAGAGGUAGAGCUACUGAUUGGAUGCGGGGGCUUCACCGCCUACCAAUUCCUGACAAACUCCGAAUGCUAUAAAAUGUUAAUCAGCAGUGAGGGCAUGGGUGCUAAGGUCCAUGUCCGAGAGGGAAAGAACCCAGACCAUCAGCUAAGGUCCCAAAAUAUAUGUUAAGUUGAAUAAACGAGGUUGAACUGCUUAGACAGCUAGGAUGUUGGCUUGGAAGCAGCCAUUCAUUUAAAGAGUGCGUAACAGCUCACUGGUCGAGCGGUCCGGCAUGGAUAAUGAUCGGGCAUAAAUACACCACCGAAGCUGUGGACUUCCUUUGGAAGUGGUAGGGGAGCAUUGUGUUUGCGUUGAAGGUG